rnacentral:rRNA from 1 species
UACGUAGGGGGGCUAGCGUUGUCCGGAUUUAUUGGGCGUAAAGAGCGUGUAGGCGGCCAGGUAGGUCUGCUGUGAAAACUCGAGGCUCAACCUCGAGACGUCGGCGGAAACCAUCUGGCUAGAGUCCGGAAGAGGAGAGUGGAAUUCCAGGUGUAGCGGUGAAAUGCGUAGAUAUCUGGAGGAACACCGGUGGCGAAGGCGGCAUCCUGGACCGGCAGUUGACGCUGAGGCGCGAAAGCCAGGGAGCAAAGCGGG